CCCUUUGAUGUUCUGGGCCGCACGCGUGCUACACUGAGUGGAUCAGCGGGUCAGGUUGCGCGAAAGUGUUUCCUAAUCUUGAAAUCCGCUCGUGAUGGGGAUUGACGGUUGCAAUUUUCCGUCAUGAACGAGGAAUACCUUGUAAGCGCGGGUCAUCAUCCCGCGCUGAAUACGUCCCUGCCCUUUGUACACACCGCCCGUCGCUCCUACCGAUUGAGUGGUCCGGUGAGGCUUUGGGAUCUGAGCAAAGAGAGCGUUUCGCUCGUUUUGCCCGGAAAACUCAGUCGAACCUUAUCAUUUAGAGGAAGGAGAAGUCGUAACA
rnacentral:rRNA from 1 species